rnacentral:tRNA from 1 species
UUUACCUUAGUAUAAUGUAUGAAUUAUGCUAAUUUUUCGUGUUAGAGAUAGUUUAACUAGGUAAAU